GACGAACGCUGGCGGCGUGCUUAACACAUGCAAGUCGAACGGAAAGGCCCUGCUUUUGUGGGGUGCUCGAGUGGCGAACGGGUGAGUAACACGUGAGUAACCUGCCCUUGACUUUGGGAUAACUUCAGGAAACUGGGGCUAAUACCGGAUAGGAGCUCCUGCUGCAUGGUGGGGGUUGGAAAGUUUCGGCGGUUGGGGGUCGACUCGCGGCUUAUCAGCUUGUUGGUGGGGUAGUUGCUUACCAAGGCUUCGACGGGUAGCCGGCCUGAGAGGGUGACCGGCCACAUUGGGACUGAGAUACGGACCAGACUCCUACGGGAGGCAGCAGUGGGGAAUAUGGCACAAUGGGCGGAAGCCUGAGGCAGCAACGCCGCGUGCGGGAUGACGGCCUUCGGGUUGUAAACCGCUUUCGCCUGUGACGAAGCGUGAGUGACGGUAAUGGGUAAAGAAGCACCGGCUAACUACGUG
rnacentral:rRNA from 1 species